CCACCCCAGUCCCAGUGGAACAAGCUGAAGCACUCCAACUCAAUGGAACCGCUGCUUUAAACAACUCUCAAGACACUAUUCAUAAUAAGCCUGGAGUUCUUUGGGGUACUUUAUUCCUUUCUUUCAGAGAUAUUCACAUGUGCUCUUUUCACUUUUGCAAACUUUUCUGUAAAGAUCACUUACCUCUUUUUUACUUCAUUUAAGCAUUUGAAAAUUCAUGUUCAUGUACAUCUUCAGAUAUUCUCUUUCUCUUUGGGGGACAAUGAGAAGCCCUGUCACCUUGGUUACCAAGAUCACCAAUGGCCUGUAGUUAUUGUACAGUGCUGUUCUUGGCAAGGGCCAAGCCAUUAGAAACCAGCUGUCUUAUAAAAUGCAAGUGCUCUGCCAUCCCUGGAAACUUCUUUGAGGACGUCUAAGAAAUAUUAUUAUCACUUAAACCUACAGUAGGUUUGGUGUAUCUACCAAAGGGAAAGGACUGGCUCUGCCCUCCAGCCAUCAUAAAACCGACACAUAUGUUUCCAAACAUAAAAGACUGAGAAAAAAUUAAUGCUCUGUGUAUAACAUUCUUAGCUUUCCUUUUGAGUGGCUGUUUUU
rnacentral:lncRNA from 1 species